GCUCAUUUGACACCUGGGCAGAUAAUUUUUUUUAACAUCCACCUCCUCUAAAUAAUAUUAUUUUCAGUAACAGCCAUGAAAUACAGUGAAUUAAUACUAGUGAUAAUGACCAGAAAAGAAAUAUACAUGGAACCCUUUUAUUGAACUUGGUAUAUAGACUUUUUUUUUUUUAGUUGUAGUCGUACACGAUAUAUUUAUUUAUUUAUUUAUUUAUUUAUUUUUAUGUGGUGGUGAGGAUCGAACCCAGGGCCUCACACAUGCUAUGUGAGCACUUUGCCACUGAGCUACAGCCCCAGCCUGGUAUAUAGACUCUUGCCAGUAAAAAUAAAUAUUACAGUGCAAAAAGCAGAACAGAGCUAAUAGAUCAAUACUUUUCAAUUACCUUAAUGUAUUUAUUUGAAGAAAUUGUAAAACAUACACACAUGGUGGCCUGUUGCAAUAAUAAUUCAUUAAUUAUGUUAUACUUUAAAAGCAAGUGAGAAAAAUAUCAAUUGAAAAAUAAGAGAUGCAGCCUGGGGAUAUAGCUUAGAGAUGGAGUACUUGCCUAGCAUAAUGUGUGAAGCUCGGAAUUCAGUCUCCAGUGGAACACACGCACACACACACACUAGGGCUGGGGGUGUGGCUGAGUGCUUACCUAGCAUGCACACAAGGCCCUGGGCUAAAUUCCCAGCAAAACAAAAACAAAAUGAAAGAGCCGUACCAGACAGGCAGGUAGCACAACCCUGUAAUCCCAGCUUCUCAGGAGCCUGAGGCAGGAGGAUUGCAAGUUUGAGGCUAGCCUGGGAAAUUUGGUGAGAACCUACCUCAAACAAGGCUAGAGAUGCAGCUGGAUGGUAGAGUGCCCCUGGGUUCAAUCCCUAGUACCACAAUCAAUC
rnacentral:lncRNA from 1 species